rnacentral:rRNA from 1 species
UUAAGCGACUAAGCGUACACGGUGGAUGCCCUGGCAGUCAGAGGCGAUGAAGGACGUGCUAAUCUGCGAUAAGCGCCGGUAAGGUGAUAUGAACCGUUAUAACCGGCGAUUUCCGAAUGGGGAAACCCAGUGUGAUUCGUCACACUAUCAUUAACUGAAUCCAUAGGUUAAUGAGGCGAACCGGGGGAACUGAAACAUCUAAGUACCCCGAGGAAAAGAAAUCAACCGAGAUUCCCCCAGUAGCGGCGAGCGAACGGGGAGGAGCCCAGAGCCUGAAUCAGCAUGUGUGUUAGUGGAAGCGUCUGGAAAGGCGCGCGAUACAGGGUGACAGCCCCGUACACAAAAGCGCAUGUGCUGUGAGCUCGAUGAGUAGGGCGGGACACGUGGUAUCCUGUCUGAAUAUGGGGGACCAUCCUCCAAGGCUAAAUACUCCUGACUGACCGAUAGUGAACCAGUACCGUGAGGGAAAGGCGAAAAGAACCCCGGCGAGGGGAGUGAAAAAGAACCUGAAACCGUGUACGUACAAGCAGUGGGAGCCUCUUUUAUGGGGUGACUGCGUACCUUUUGUAUAAUGGGUCAGCGACUUAUAUUCUGUAGCAAGGUUAACCGAAUAGGGGAGCCGGAGGGAAACCGAGUCUUAAUUGGGCGUUAAGUUGCAGGGUAUAGACCCGAAACCCGGUGAUCUAGCCAUGGGCAGGUUGAAGGUUGGGUAACACUAACUGGAGGACCGAACCGACUAAUGUUGAAAAAUUAGCGGAUGACCUGUGGCUGGGGGUGAAAGGCCAAUCAAACCGGGAGAUAGCUGGUUCUCCCCGAAAGCUAUUUAGGUAGCGCCUCGUGAAUUCAUCUCCGGGGGUAGAGCACUGUUUCGGCUAGGGGGCCAUCCCGGCUUACCAACCCGAUGCAAACUGCGAAUACCGGAGAAUGUUAUCACGGGAGACACACGGCGGGUGCUAACGUCCGUCGUGAAGAGGGAAACAACCCAGACCGCCAGCUAAGGUCCCAAAGUCAUGGUUAAGUGGGAAACGAUGUGGGAAGGCCCAGACAGCCAGGAUGUUGGCUUAGAAGCAGCCAUCAUUUAAAGAAAGCGUAAUAGCUCACUGGUCGAGUCGGCCUGCGCGGAAGAUGUAACGGGGCUAAACCAUGCACCGAAGCUGCGGCAGCGACGCUUAUGCGUUGUUGGGUAGGGGAGCGUUCUGUAAGCCUGCGAAGGUGGCCUGUGAGGGUUGCUGGAGGUAUCAGAAGUGCGAAUGCUGACAUAAGUAACGAUAAAGCGGGUGAAAAGCCCGCUCGCCGGAAGACCAAGGGUUCCUGUCCAACGUUAAUCGGGGCAGGGUGAGUCGACCCCUAAGGCGAGGCCGAAAGGCGUAGUCGAUGGGAAACGGGUUAAUAUUCCCGUACUUGGUGUUACUGCGAAGGGGGACGGAGAAGGCUAUGUUGGCCGGGCGACGGUUGUCCCGGUUUAAGCGUGUAGGUGUGUGUUCCAGGUAAAUCCGGUUCACUUUAACACUGAGGCGUGACGACGAGGCACUACGGUGCUGAAGCAACAAAUGCCCUGCUUCCAGGAAAAGCCUCUAAGCAUCAGGUAACAUCAAAUCGUACCCCAAACCGACACAGGUGGUCAGGUAGAGAAUACCAAGGCGCUUGAGAGAACUCGGGUGAAGGAACUAGGCAAAAUGGUGCCGUAACUUCGGGAGAAGGCACGCUGACACGUAGGUGAAGUGAUUUACUCAUGGAGCUGAAGUCAGUCGAAGAUACCAGCUGGCUGCAACUGUUUAUUAAAAACACAGCACUGUGCAAACACGAAAGUGGACGUAUACGGUGUGACGCCUGCCCGGUGCCGGAAGGUUAAUUGAUGGGGUCAGCGCAAGCGAAGCUCCUGAUCGAAGCCCCGGUAAACGGCGGCCGUAACUAUAACGGUCCUAAGGUAGCGAAAUUCCUUGUCGGGUAAGUUCCGACCUGCACGAAUGGCGUAAUGAUGGCCAGGCUGUCUCCACCCGAGACUCAGUGAAAUUGAACUCGCUGUGAAGAUGCAGUGUACCCGCGGCAAGACGGAAAGACCCCGUGAACCUUUACUAUAGCUUGACACUGAACAUUGAGCCUUGAUGUGUAGGAUAGGUGGGAGGCUUUGAAGCGUGGACGCCAGUCUGCGUGGAGCCGACCUUGAAAUACCACCCUUUAAUGUUUGAUGUUCUAACGUGGACCCGUUACCCGGGUUGCGGACAGUGUCUGGUGGGUAGUUUGACUGGGGCGGUCUCCUCCUAAAGAGUAACGGAGGAGCACGAAGGUUGGCUAAUCCUGGUCGGACAUCAGGAGGUUAGUGCAAUGGCAUAAGCCAGCUUGACUGCGAGCGUGACGGCGCGAGCAGGUGCGAAAGCAGGUCAUAGUGAUCCGGUGGUUCUGAAUGGAAGGGCCAUCGCUCAACGGAUAAAAGGUACUCCGGGGAUAACAGGCUGAUACCGCCCAAGAGUUCAUAUCGACGGCGGUGUUUGGCACCUCGAUGUCGGCUCAUCACAUCCUGGGGCUGAAGUAGGUCCCAAGGGUAUGGCUGUUCGCCAUUUAAAGUGGUACGCGAGCUGGGUUUAGAACGUCGUGAGACAGUUCGGUCCCUAUCUGCCGUGGGCGCUGGAGAACUGAGGGGGGCUGCUCCUAGUACGAGAGGACCGGAGUGGACGCAUCACUGGUGUUCGGGUUGUCAUGCCAAUGGCACUGCCCGGUAGCUAAAUGCGGAAGAGAUAAGUGCUGAAAGCAUCUAAGCACGAAACUUGCCCCGAGAUGAGUUCUCCCUGAGACUUAGAGUCUCCUGAAGGAACGUUGAAGACGACGACGUUGAUAGGCCGGGUGUGUAAGCGCAGCGAUGCGUUGAGCUAACCGGUACUAAUGAACCGUGAGGCUUAACCUU